CCCCACUCUUUUCCAUAGUACUUUUUUUCCUUUUUGGUAGAUUUUUUCCCUUUAUUUUUUUAUUUAUUUUUCUUUGUUCACUUCCAUGUUAUAUAAAUAUAUUUUGUUGCAAAACAAUGAGAUAAGACUACGAUAUUUAUCUUGUGGUCAGGGAUUAACAGCUGGACACUGGUAUCAACAGAUGAUUGGCAUAUUAGCCCCUCCCAAAUGCUUAUAUAUUUAGAUUAAUUACCAUGUGCUUUUAUUUACAUAAAUUCAUUAUCAAUUUACUCCCU
rnacentral:lncRNA from 1 species